rfam:Gossypium arboreum cultivar AKA8401 contig_12224_9, whole genome shotgun sequence.
UGUUAAAAGUUUUAUCCAUUUCUAUUAUUAAAAACUGACGCUAACAAAAUAAUCAUAUAGUUACACAUGUCGUGCCAUGUGUACCUCAUUCUGACAUACAAUGACCAAUUCUUAAUAGUAGAAAUUAAUGAAACUUUUAAUA